rnacentral:rRNA from 1 species
UGGGGAAUAUUGCACAAUGGGCGCAAGCCUGAUGCAGCAACGCCGCGUGAGGGAUGACGGCCUUCGGGUUGUAAACCUCUUUUAGUAGGGAAGAAGCGAAAGUGACGGUACCUGCAGAAAAAGCACCGGCUAACUACGUGCCAGCAGCCGCGGUAAUACGUAGGGUGCGAGCGUUGUCCGGAAUUAUUGGGCGUAAAGAGCUCGUAGGCGGUCUGUCGCGUCUGCUGUGAAAACCCGAGGCUCAACCUCGGGCCUGCAGUGGGUACGGGCAGACUAGAGUGCGGUAGGGGAGAAUGGAAUUCCUGGUGUAGCGGUGGAAUGCGCAGAUAUCAGGAGGAACACCGAUGGCGAAGGCAGUUCUCUGGGCCGUAACUGACGCUGAGGAGCGAAAAGCGUGGGGAGCGAACAGGAUUAGAUACCCUGGUAGUCCACGCCGUAAACGUUGGGCGCUAGAUGUGGGGACCAUUCCACGGUUUCCGUGUCGCAGCUAACGCAUUAAGCGCCCCGCCUGGGGAGUACGGCCGCAAGGCU